AGCAGCAUCCCUUAUGGGAGAACUUUUAUUUUGAAAAAACAUACAAUGUAAUGUCUCUGAUUAAUUCCUUAAAUGGUCAAUGUUUGGAGUGAAUCAUUUUCAUGUGAAGAUUGAGUAUUUUGCGUGGGUGCACUACACAGUGACACCUGUACAUUUGUUUCCCUUGCGAUCGUGCUGUGAAGGGCUCUUGUUAGAUCUUCUGUUUUCACGGAGAAGCCAUAAUUUGUGUCAGGAACUCUGUGGGAUCAGGGAUUUUUGGCACAUGCGAAGGGGACGAGCCAAGGGGUAGAGCCACCGCCGACGCUGUCGUCACAGUGGGCUGAGGCCGGAGCCCCAGCUGCUGGCCCCUCGGGGCUCCCCCACCGCACGGGCGCAGCGGGACCAGAGCAGCAAGUGCUGGCUGUGUCCUUCCACCUGGAUGUCACACGGCACGUCUGAGACAGACACCAUUCGCACCCAUCCCUUGGGAAUAUUGAAAUCUUGGGCAUCUGGGAAGCCUGCCAUGCGUGGGAUUCAUAGCAAGAGCUAAACUUGUUUUGCCCACCAAGUCUUCCAGGUGAGAGUUUGAAUCUUUCUUUUCCUGAUCCUUUCCUGUUACGUCUAAAUUAGAGUCAGUGUGACCACCGUGUGCGGCAGUAAACUCGGUGCAGCUUCUCUUCUGCUUCUGGUCGCCGACAGGGUCCAGCCCACGAGGGCAGUCGGACACCGCUUCAUCGUAACUACCACCACAUCUGUCGUCCGCGCCCUGGCUCUCUCCAGAGCGCUCAGCUCGUUCAGCCUCUCAGCAGCCCUUGGGAAGGGCGCAAUCAGGACCCUUGACAGAUGGGAAAUGGGAUGGGACACCAAGAGGAAGGAUCGUGCCUGGGAGACAACCAGCGAGAGGUGAAGCACAAACGAGGGCCGUCAAACGAGCCCUCCCCGGCCCUCCAGGCCAGGCUGCCCUCCUCCUGGAGCAUUUCGUUUCUUUCCGGGCCAGGAAGGAAUAAACACAUGAGUUAGCUCAUGCCAUAAAGCCACUGUAAGCAAUCAUGCUAAAUAUCCACCACCUCAUUUCACAGCUUAGGUGAAUCCCACAAAUUCCUAGUAUUUUGAGCAAAAAUACAGAGGACCGGCAGGAUGUGCACUGGAUGAAGUCUCUGCUAACAGUGGUGGUGCCCUGAGGUCAGUGAGAGGCGUCUGUUCCUCCAGAAGUCCCAGGCCGCUGUGCUGCUUCUGCAGCCGUGAGCCGAAUACAGCCCUGGGGCACCUGCUCCCCGAGGACGGUCUUGGGAAGCUCCUGCCCCUCUCUCCAGUGCGCGAGUUGCUCUCCCCAGGGCCUUCACUCCGCUACCUCAACAGACAGCGGCCAGUUAUCAACUGAGGCUGACCUCUCCCGGCAGCCCUCCCCUCACCGCACGUCCUGCCGAAUCCUCUUGCUGCGCAGCUUCCUGUGCCGCAGUGUUGUGUUUGCUGGUGCACCUGCCUGAGCUGCUGCACCGUAGCUCUCCUGGGAUGGGCGGCGUCUUCCCUUGUAACCGCAGUCCCUCCCGGCGUCUGUCAGAAGGAGAGACCUUCCGUAGAACUUGCUGAGUGAGUGGACAAGUGAAUGAUCAGCAGUCACUGGGAAGAUCGUCAACACGGAUAAGGGAAGAAGUCAGCAGCCCUUGUCCAGGCAGGGAAGGAGGAGCCAUUUAGGAGACUGCAAAGGAUUGAGGAGGAGAAAAGUGAUGGAAGCCAGGAGAGAAGAAGUUUCCAGAAAGAGAUAGUCACCUCAGUGUCUAGUGCUUCAGAUGGCCCGAUACCCGCCUUUGUCUUCGGAAGCCCGUGUUUCCGCCUCAUGCGCAGCUUCUUGAGCUCCUGUGACUCGGCCAGCGGACGCCGCCUUCUGCUCGUUCAUUCGGUGUUGAUGCCACUUCCCUUGAUAUGCACGUUUCAAUAGUACUCAUUCCCGUGCUGUCAAACUUCUCUCUCCAACGUAGUUUAUCUCUUUAAAUUUCCCUAGGCCAGGUGCCUGUCUUAUGGUUUUAAAAAUAAUUUUGAAUAAAGUGAUUAAGAACUUAGGAUAAAUCCUUGCAUGUAUUUUAAAGUUCCUCAUCCCAUCCUUCAGUCUUUAAUCUUGGCAAAAGUGCCUACCUUUUGGGCUGCUUCUUGAUAUAAUCAUAUAUGUGAUAAUCUUCCCCAUCCUAAUAAAAAUAGGUCCCCUUUCUGACCUUUACAGAAAAUUCAGUCCUCGCCAUCGAGUUAUCUACCUUUACUUCCUCCCCAAGCCCGGAGCUGUGGGCUGUGUGUGCAAAUGGCGGGACAACGCGAAUCUAAAACUCUUGUUCUUUAGAACACCUGCACACUUGAUCCUUAUUUUUAUGAAUCUUAGAUCACAGUGACUUAGUUCUCAUUUCAUAUUUCUAUGUGGUGCAAUAGUAAUGACCAAUAAUCUGCCAAGCCCUAGCCUCUGUAAUUGACAGAAGGCAUCAUAGGAUUUGUCCUCACAUCCCCAACCAUGCGUUCCCUCCACAUGGUAUUCCUUACGGUACCUCAAAAAAGGCAAAAAACCCUAAAGCUUCAAAAAAUGGUAAUUCUUUUUUUUUUUUAAUGUUUUCCCAUUGCUUAAAUCUUUGCAAUAAUUAUUGUAUUAACUGCUUUCAGGUAUUAUAGAAUUUGCAGGAUAAUACUGAUUAUACCUUGAGUUCAAAGAAAAACAUAACCAUUCUUACUUUCACAUUUUUAAAAUUACGGAUUUGAAACGUUAAAAGGAAAAUUUAAGCGACAGUUGCAGUUAUUCCUUAAAUAAUAAUUGUCCAUGUUAGUGCAGCUGGAGGGUGCCCCAUCUGGUUACCCUUCUCUGCAUGCACCUCGUGUCUGUAAGGCUCCGCGCACUGAGCUGAGUCGCCCUGGGUGUGGCUUCACUUCCUGCGGCUGCUGUGAGUCCCGUAAGCUCUGGGGCCCUGAGCUGGGUCUGCGGGAUGGGAGGGGAGAUGCCUUGAAGCUGAGCCUGUGUGACCUAAGUAAUAAAAUCACUUUUUCCCUCACCUAGAAAGAAUUGAGUCAGAAAUAGUAUGAUUUUUAAAAAUUAAAAUCUGUUAAUGUCCUACUGUGGUAGAAAAACUGGUUCUAGAAACUGUAGGACAAUUGAUAGAGACUCUACACGUCCAUGGUUUUCAUCCUCAUUCAUUUCAUUCUAUGUUUAUACAGGGAAUGGCUGGCCCAGACCAGGCCUCCCCUGCACUGAUCGUUGCUUUGCUGAGGCGGAGGCGGGUGCCCUGGCGACAGGCGCCUCAGUGUUCGCAGCUCCCUGGCCUUGGAGCGGAGAUGGGGGUCAGCAGGGGGGAAGCCCGGCAGCCGCUGCCCUGGGGCGUGUGCUGGGGGCGCCUUAUCCUUAGUCUAACCCUGUGCCUCCCAUACGGUGUCCCGUAACAUGCUGUGCCAGGAAAAGAAUUCCUUGACAAAGUACUUUUGAGGAAAAUACUUAGCCCCUUGAGAAAUUCACAGCACAAGUUAGCAAAUCAACGGUUCUGAGAAACGUCUGUUAGACAAGCCUGUUCAACCUUGUUGAACCAGACCUUUUUGUUGCAUAACACCUGCUAACAUCCCAUGAAACUCAUGUUCCAGGAAACAUGCUUUGGGGAUGACAUUCUAAACUUGCUGGAGGCAGCAUUCAGAGAGGCCUUGUGUCUUCAGCACAUGGGCACUGCCAACCAAUAGUGUCACAUCCCAGGGGUCACCCCUGGGUGCGUGCCAUUUACUUUUUGUUCUUGCUAGUGACCUAGAGAUCCUGAGAAUGUGCUUAUUAAAAUCGGUAGCUGUCAUCUCAGAGGAGAACUAACAUUCAGAGCAGUCAUUAUCAGAGUGCAGCAGGGGAUGUGGUGGAUUGAAUUGCGUACCCAGUUUGCACGUGUUCUUGGUCUUGGUCUGCAUUCUAGUGGGUGUGGACCCAUUGUAAGUAGGAUUUCUUCAAGAUGUUCUUUCAUUUAAGGUGUAGGCAGACUGAAUCAGGUUGAACUUUAAUCCAGAUUGCUGGCACCCUUUAUGAGCAGAAUGGAUGUCAGAUGGAGGAGGAAGUCACGGGGAGCAGCCAGGAGCCAAAGUCAGUGGAACCUGGAGAAGACGUCACCAUCUGCAAUGCCUUAGAGCCCCAGAGACUGCAGGCCAGUCGGAAGACCCCCACCAGGGAGGAGGAGGCACACCUUCCAGCCUCUGAAACCUUGAGCCAGUUAAUUCCUGGUGUUAAGCCAACCCUUUGAAUGGUGUUUGUUUUAGCAGCUGGGAAACUAGGCUGGGAGUAAGGGUAAGCAUGCCCUGAGGGGAGCCUUGACCACGACUAGUUAGUUGAAGCUACAGGGAAGCAGCAGUUCUAUGUGUUUACCAAAAGGUCGUGGGAAACUUCCAGCAGGAGUGGAGUAGAAGAAUGUGGAUUCAUCCUCCCGCCUUGAACAACUAGUAGACUGGAUAAAAUAUAUCAAACAAUUGUAUUCAGAGGUCAAACAACAGGCAAGUAGGGACUAUGAUCCCUGAAAGAAAAGAAACAGCUGAGAGACUUCUGGAAUUAACGUAGCUGAAAGUGCUUGACACCUUGAGCAGUGGUGUGGACAGGCUACGUGGGGAGCAAUAACGGAGUGAGACCAGGGAGGGCUCCUUGGAGUCCUCUGGGGAGCCAGAGCUCCCACCCACCCAGCAGUAACGAGGAUCCCCACCUUAGGGAGUCAGUGAGUGACGGGCCUGGGCUCCUUCCCACCAGCACUACUCUGCUGCCACAGCAGCAUCACGGGAACCACCUAAAACAGAAGAUUUGCGUACAGUCCAGGGUCUUCUAACAUGACACCCGAAAUACCCAGAUUUUAGUCGAACUUCACUUGCUGUGAUAAGAACCAUGAAGAUAUCAAACUGCAUGAAGAAAACACAAUCAGCAGAUACUGUUAGGUCAAUUUGUGUCCCCCAGAAAAGACACGCUCAAGUCCUAACUCCAGGCCUGUGGAUGUGACCUUCUUUGGAAAUACCUUUAGAAGAUGUGAUUAGUGAAAAUGAGGUCAUACAGGGAUUAGGGUGAGUCCUUAUAAGAAGGGAGCCACUGGACACAGAGAGGAGAAUGCCAUGUGAAAAUGGAGUCAAGAAAGAAGGACAUUUGGAGAUGAAGGCAGAAUGUGGAACGAUGUGUCUCCAAGCCGGGGGCAGCAGGAUUGCUGGUACCACCUCAAGCUAGAAAGGAGCAAGGGAGAGCUCUCCCAUACAGGUUCAGAAGGAGCAUUGCCCUGCCCACACCUUCAUUUCAGACUUGCUAGCCCCUGUGACCUUGUGAGCCAAUUCCUCUCUUAGAUGUGUACAUACAUGCUGUGUGUGUUUGUGUGUAAACACAUAUAGACAUGUAUCCUGUUGCCUGUUUCUAUAGAAAAUCCUUACUCAUACAGAUGCCUAUACCAAGAUGAGAGAGCAUUUAGAGAUAUCUAACAAAGAUGUUAAAGCAAUCAUAUAAAAAUGUGUCAGUAAGCAAUUAUUAAAAUGUUAAAGAAAUGGAAAAAAUAUAGUCUCAGCAAAGAAUAGAGACUAUAAAGUAGAAUCAAAUGAAAGUUUUAGAGAAACUAGAGAAAUAAAAUAACUGAAAUUAAAAAUGCAGAUGAGCUCAACAGCACAAUGGAAGACAGGAAACAAUCAAUGAACUGGAAGAUGGAACAUUAUAAAGUACCAGUUUGAACAACAGAGAGAAUAUAGACUGAAAAAAAUUACAAGAGCCUCGGGGAUCUGUGGGGCUAUAACAAAAGAGCUAGCAUUUGUGUCACUGGACUCGUGGAAGGAGAGGAGAGGAGUGGGGCAAAAAGGUACUCAAGGAAAUAAUGUCUGAUAACUUACCAAAUUUGGCAAAAGGCAACCUGCAGAUUUAAGAAGCUCAGCAAACCCCACACACAAUAAACUCAAAGAGAUACAAACCCAGGCACAUCUUCCUUAAAUUUCUGAAAAAUAAGGAAAAGAAAAUAUCUUGAGAGCAGUUAGAAAGAAAGGACACCUUAUAGAUAAUGAGAAACAAUUUGGAUAACAGUGAAUUUCUCAUCAAAAAUCAGAGGCCAAAGAAUAUAGCACAGCAUUUUUUAAGGGCUAAAAGAAAAGAAUUGUCAACACAAAACCCUAUUCCCGGCAAAAAUAUCUUUCAGGAAGGAAGGGGAAAUCAAGGCAUUCUCAGAUGAAGAAAAACUGAUAGAACUUGUUGCUACUAGACCUACCCUAAAAGAAAGGCUAAGGGAAGUUCUCUAAACAGAAUGGAAAUGUUAAAAGAAGGAGCCUUGGAACCUCAGGGAGAAGAAAAAUGGUAGGCAAAAAUAUGGGUUUAAGUUUUCUAAAUUAUUUUUGAUAAUUGAAGCAAAAAUUAUAAUACUGUCUGUAUUUCUGAAAGAAUAUAGGGGAAAUAUUUAAGACAGUUAUAAGUGAAGGUGAGGGGGAGUUAAGAGACAUAAAAGGAUAUAAGAUUUCUACACUUCUCUUGGACCAGUAAAGUGACAACACUAGUAGCCUGUGAUAAGUUAUUUAUAUAUAAUGUAAAGCCUAGAGCAACCACUAAAGUUCUGUAAAGGGACACACUUAAAAACACUAAUUAGCCGAAGAGGAAUUAAAAAAGAAAAAAAAAAACAAGAAAAGAAAAUCAGAAAGAUCAAACAAAAAGUGAAGUAAGAUAGCA